CGAUUCCGGAGAGGGAGCCUGAGAAAUGGCUACCACAUCCAAGGAUGGCAGCAGGCGCGCAAAUUACCCACUCCCAGCUUGGGGAGGUAGUGACGAAAAAUAACAAUGCGGGACUCUAAGAGGCCCCGUAAUUGGAAUGAGUACACCUUAAAUCGUUUAACGAGUAUCAAUUGGAGGGCAAGUCUGGUGCCAGCAGCCGCGGUAAUUCCAGCUCCAAUAGCGUAUAUUAAAGUUGCUGCAGUUAAAAAGCUCGUAGUUGGAUCUGGGGCUUGAGGUCGCUGUCUAUCGUUUCGGCGAUGACGGUGAUGCUCAGCUCUGCUUGCCGGUGACUGUUGCGGUGUUCUUCACUGAGCGCUGUAGCAGCACGGCACGUUUACUUUGAAAAAAUUAGAGUGCUCAAAGCGUGCUUGUCGCUUGAAUAAUGUUGCAUGGAAUAAUGGAAUAGGACCUCGGUUCUAUUUUGUUGGUUUUCGGAGCUUGAGGUAAUGAUUAAGAGGGACGAACGGGGGCAUUCGUAUUGCGGUGUUAGAGGUGAAAUUCUUGGAUCGCCGCAAGACGGACUACUGCGAAAGCAUUUGCCAAGAACGCUUUCAUUAAUUAAGAACGAAAGUCAGAGGUUCGAAGACGAUCAGACACCGUCCUAGUUCUGACCAUAAACGAUGCCGACCAGCGAUCCGUAGUGGUUGCUUUAUGGACCCUACGGGCAGCCUCCGGGAAACCAAAGUAUUUGGGUUCCGGGGGAAGUAUGGUUGCAAAGCUGAAACUUAAAGGAAUUGACGGAAGGGCACACCAGGAGUGGAGCCUGCGGCUUAAUUUGACCCAACACGGGAAAACUCACCCGGUCCGGACACCGUAAGGAUUGACAGACUGAUAGCUCUUUCUUGAUUCGGUGGAUGGUGGUGCAUGGCCGUUCUUAGUUGGUGGAGUGAUUUGUCUGGUUAAUUCCGAUAACGAACGAGACUCUAGCCUGCUAAGUAGUGUUGCUAUUGUUAUAUGGUUGACACUUCUUAGAGGGACAAGUGGCAUUUAGCCACGCGAAAUUGAGCAAUAACAGGUCUGUGAUGCCCUUAGAUGUCCGGGGCCGCACGCGCGCUACACUGGAGAAGUCAGCGUGUGUUGUCCAAGUCCGAAAGGACUGGGUAAUCCGUUGAACCUUCUUCGUGCUUGGGACUGUGGCUUGGAACUAUUCCACAUGAACGAGGAAUUCCUAGUAAUUGCAAGUCAUAAGCUUGCGUUGAUUACGUCCCUGCCCUUUGUACACACCGCCCGUCGCUACUACCGAUUGAAUGGUUUAGCAAGGUCCUCGGAUCGUGGCCGUAGGGGCACGCAAGUGUUUCUGCGGUUUGCGGGAAGACGACCAAACUUGAUCAUUUAGAGGAAGUAAAAGUCGUAACAAGGUU
rnacentral:rRNA from 1 species